rnacentral:lncRNA from 1 species
UACACCAGUUCUAAACAUAGCAAGAACUUUCAUACCUCCCUCUAUACCUGCACAAACUCACCAAAGCACCUCAUCUUCAUCAUCCUCUGAACCUGAAUCACCUCCUUAUGUUUCCCUUUCUUUUGACCAAGAACUUUCUGAUCCUGGUUCCCCAACCAUAGCCACACUUUAUGCUCAUAGACUUGCUUCACAACAAACACAAACCACAAAACCUGAAAUAACUUCACCACUACAACAAACAACCACCAUACCCUCUGAAACUCAACCCUCUGAAAUUCAACCAUCUGAUCCCCACACCUCUGAUAUCACCCCACCAAA